CUUGAAGCACCUGUUCCCGUACGAUCACCAAAGUUAAGCCACGUGGAGCAUGGUCAAUACCUACAUGGGUAACCACGGGGGAAUACCAGGCGCUGGAA